CCCCCCCCCCCCAACCCCUUUUUUUUUUUUUAAAAAAAAAUUGGAUAAAGUUUCUCUAGGGGAACCCCCGCAAGGAUCCUU
rnacentral:rRNA from 1 species